UACGUAGGGUGCAAGCGUUAAUCGGAAUUACUGGGCGUAAAGCGUGCGCAGGCGGCUUUGCAAGACAGAUGUGAAAUCCCCGGGCUUAACCUGGGAACUGCAUUUGUGACUGCAUGGCUGGAGUGCGGCAGAGGGGGAUGGAAUUCCGCGUGUAGCAGUGAAAUGCGUAGAUAUGCGGAGGAACACCGGUGGCGAAGGCGAGUCCCUGGACAUCUCCUGACACUGAGGCACGAAAGCUAGGGGAGCAAACAGG
rnacentral:rRNA from 1 species